rnacentral:lncRNA from 1 species
AAAUACUAAACCUAAAUAUAUCUAGUACAGAUAACUUGUCUAUCCAUGGAGGAUCUUCACUCCCAGGCAAGGGAGCUGCAAUCCAUGAAACGAACAUAUAGGCAUAAUAAAACACAGAGCCGGGGCUUUGCUACUGUUUCUGGACUACAAUUCCCACAAUCCCCAGCCAGAUUCAAGGAGUGGAAAUCCAAAACGGGGAACGUCCCUGAGCACGGAUAAAACGUUAGCCUCUUCAUGUGCCAUAUAGUCAUUGCCUAACGAAGCCCGUUAACAUUAGGAACGGGGAAACCUAACGGAAUGGGCUCCCUCCUCGUUCCUCCCGGCAUCACGGCAACGUUACUCGCGACCCGUUACUUCCCAGCUUUGUUCAAAAGUUGUUCCCGAAAUGUUGUUUUCGAAACAGUGGCGUCGCGGGAAUCCCGGGGGCGAACGAGCUUCUCUUGAAGUCCCUAGAACGACCCCUUCCAGCCAUCAUCACGCAACAACAACGACGACGACGACGACGGGCCUGUCCCUUUAAGACCCUUUCGGGCCCGCAGCCCAGGCGAGCCGGCCCGGGCCUCGCCCUGUGAGCCGCCCGAAGCUUCUUCCCCGCUGCUGGUUUGUUUUCCUGCCGCCGCAAAAAUGAGUUUUUAAUUCGUGGUUCCUCGCCCAGCCCGCGACUUUUUUCCGAGUUGCGCCAGAGAUUCCCGAGAGAAGCCCCUUGGUCUCCCCUGGAGGAAAUUUGGAAAUCGUCGUUUUCCUGGAAGCAAAGGGAAAAGAAAAAACAGAUUCUCUCUGCAUUCCACUCCGGGAGCCUCCAAGCACACAGCUGGGUUGGGAGCUCGCAAAGAAAAUGGAGCAUGAAAUGGAGGCCGUGGCGGAAGGAGGGACGGUAAUGUGCGGUGAUCCGGACUCUGACACCAGAACCGCCGGAGCGCAGGUUCAGCCAUGUUCUCAGGAUGACCUCAGUGUCCUCCGAAACCAGGGCGCUUGUUUGCGUUCACGGCAGAAAAU